CGCCUAUACAAAAGCAAAAAUGUCCGUUUAUACAAAAAAUAUACGGCGUUUCGGUUUUUGGCGGGGUGGGUGCGUGUGUGGAUAACGGCUCACAUAACGUGUCGCGAUGGAUGACUUGGCUUCCUAUUUCGUUGAAGAACGCAGUAAAGUGCGAUAAGUGGUAUCAAUUGCAGAAUCAUUCAAUUACCGAAUCUUUGAACGCAAACGGCGCAUGGGAGAAG
rnacentral:rRNA from 1 species